rnacentral:rRNA from 1 species
GUAGGUGGCAAGCGUUGUCCGGAAUUAUUGGGCGUAAAGCGCGCGCAGGCGGUUCUUUAAGUCUGAUGUGAAAGCUCACGGCUCAACCGUGGAGGGUCAUUGGAAACUGGAGAACUUGAGUACAGAAGAGGAAAGCGGAAUUCCACGUGUAGCGGUGAAAUGCGUAGAGAUGUGGAGGAACACCAGUGGCGAAGGCGGCUUUCUGGUCUGUAACUGACGCUGAGGCGCGAAAGCGUGGGGGAGCAAACAGGAUUAGAUACCCUGGUAGUCCACGCCGUAAACGAUGAGUGCUAAGUGUUAGGGGGUUUCCGCCCCUUAGUGCUGCAGCUAACGCAUUAAGCACUCCGCCCUGGGAGUACGGCCGCAAGGCUG